rnacentral:rRNA from 1 species
UACGUAGGCAGCAAGCGUUGUUCGGAGUUACUGGGCGUAAAGGGUGUGUAGGCGGUUGGAUAAGUGUGGUGUGAAAUCUCCCGGCUUAACUGGGAGGGUGCGCUACAAACUGUCUGACUAGAGUGUGGGAUGGGUAAGUGGAAUUCCUGGUGUAGCGGUGAAAUGCGUAGAUAUCAGGAGGAACACCGAUGGCGAAGGCAGGUCUCUGGGCUGACACUGACGCUCAUGCACGAAAGCGUGGGGAGCAAACAGG